rnacentral:rRNA from 1 species
CGUAGGCAGCGAGCGUUGUUCGGAGUUACUGGGCGUAAAGGGUAGUGUAGGCGGUUGUUUAAGUUUGGUGUGAAAUCUCCCGGCUCAACUGGGAGGGUGCGCCGAAUACUGAAUGACUUCGAGUGCGGGAGAGGAAAGUGGAAUUCCUGGUGUAGCGGUGAAUAGCGUAGAUAUCAGGAGGAACACCGGUGGUGUAGACGGCUUUCUGGACCGUAACUGACGCUGAGACACGAAAGCGUGGGUAGCAAACAGGAUUAGAUACCCUGGUAGUCCACGCCCUAAACGAUGCAUAUUUGGUGUGGGCAGUUCAUUCUGUCCGUGCCGGAGCUAACGCGUUAAAUAUGCCGCCUGGGGAGUACAGUCGCAAGGCUG